CGGUGGAGCAUGUGGUUUAAUUCGAAGCAACGCGAAGAACCUUACCAGGCCUUGACAUGCAGAGAACUUUCCAGAGAUGGAUUGGUGCCUUCGGGAACUCUGACACAGGUGCUGCAUGGCUGUCGUCAGCCCGUGUCGUGAGAUGUUGGGUUAAGUCCCGUAACGAGCGCAACCCUUGUCCUUAGUUACCAGCACGUUAUGGUGGGCACUCUAAGGAGACUGCCGGUGACAAACCGGAGGAAGGUGGGGAUGACGUCAAGUCAUCAUGGCCCUUACGGCCUGGGCUACACACGUGCUACAAUGGUCGGUACAAAGGGUUGCCAAGCCGCGAGGUGGAGCUAAUCCCAUAAAACCGAUCGUAGUCCGGAUCGCAGUCUGCAACUCGACUGCGUGAAGUCGGAAUCGCUAGUAAUCGUGAAUCAGAAUGUCACGGUGAAUACGUUCCCGGGCCUU
rnacentral:rRNA from 1 species